rfam:Chelonia mydas contig171430, whole genome shotgun sequence.
AUAAUUUUAACAUUAGCUUUAAUAAAAUUUUCCAAUCUGUUGUGAUCAGUUUAAUAUCUGACACCUUUGCUACCUAAGAACUCUGUAUUAAAUGGAUUUUUGGAGCACGGAGAUGGAAGAGGAACUUGGUCUGUCCACUCCACGCAUUCACCCGAUAUUGCAGUGCUUCUGGGAAUGGUGCACUUCCC